GACGAACGCUGGCGGCGUGCUUAACACAUGCAAGUCGAACGGAAAGGCCCUGCUUUUGUGGGGUGCUCGAGUGGCGAACGGGUGAGUAACACGUGAGUAACCUUCCCUUGACUUUGGGAUAACUUCAGGAAACUGGGGCUAAUACCGGAUAGGAGCUCCUGCUGCAUGGUGGGGGUUGGAAAGUUUCGGCGGUUGGGGAUGGACUCGCGGCUUAUCAGCUUGUUGGUGGGGUAGUGGCUUACCAAGGCUUUGACGGGUAGCCGGCAUGAGAGGGUGACCGGCCACAUGGGGACUGAGAUACGGCCCAGACUCCUACGGGAGGCAGCAGGGGGGAAUAUGGAACAAUGGGCGGAAGCCUGAUGCAGCAACGCCGCGUGCGGGAUGAAGGCCUUCGGGUUGUAAACCGCUUUCGCCUGUGACGAAGCGUGAGUGACGGUAAUGGGUAAAGAAGCACCGGCUAACUACGUG
rnacentral:rRNA from 1 species